rnacentral:rRNA from 1 species
AACGAACGCUGGCGGCAGGCUUAACACAUGCAAGUCGAACGCCCCGCAAGGGGAGUGGCAGACGGGUGAGUAACGCGUGGGAACAUACCCUUUUCUACGGAAUAGCUCUGGGAAACUGGAAUUAAUACCGUAUACGCCCUACGGGGGAAAGAUUUAUCGGGGAAGGAUUGGCCCGCGUUGGAUUAGCUAGUUGGUGGGGUAAAGGCCUACCAAGGCGACGAUCCAUAGCUGGUCUGAGAGGAUGAUCAGCCACAUUGGGACUGAGACACGGCCCAAACUCCUACGGGAGGCAGCAGUGGGGAAUAUUGGACAAUGGGCGCAAGCCUGAUCCAGCCAUGCCGCGUGAGUGAUGAAGGCCUUAGGGUUGUAAAGCUCUUUCACCGAUGAAGAGAAUGACGGUAGUCGGAGAAGAAGCCCCGGCUAACUUCGUG